ensembl:lncRNA
GAGAAACGCUCAGUCCCGAAGACAGCUGUCCACAGUUGACCAAAUGUGAGCUGCAGGCUUAUUGCAGUUCCCAGAAGUCUCUGGACUGAGCUGAGCCACUUUCUCUGCCUUGUCUAGAUAUGCUUUGUUUUGGGCAGCCUGACGGCUCUGUGGGCCUGGCCCCUGCCCGGACGAGGGGUCAUGUGCCCUUCUCACCUGAUGGUCUUGACCUGACUUCUAACUUCACUGAGGCAGCCUGGGAAAUCCAGGCUCUCCUCGGAAUUUCAUCUGCCUUUGACUCCGCUCACAGAGUUGAGGUAAGGGUUUUGGGGGGCACCGCACCUGGGAGCAGGAGGUGCUGGGAACAGGGGCCCAGGCAGAGGGCCAGGUCUCCUUCCGGUCAUUUCUGGGGCAUGGAAGGCCUCUUGAGGGUUUUUGCUUAAGGCUUCAAGUUGGCCUUGGCCAGAGUGCACAGUUGGUGCUUAGCGGCUAUGAUGGCCAUGAGAGGGCUUGGGGAGGGAGUCUUUGCAAAGUCAGGGAAAGCCCUCCUCAUUCUUGUGUGAUUUCAGGGGAAAAGAGGAGCACUACCUGACCCCUAAAUUUGCUCCCUCUGUUGCCUCUGCCUUCUCACAAAGGGAUUUCUUUGAAAAAAUAGGGUCUGACAAAAAAUAGCCAUCUUCCCAUCCUAACGGUGGAGUAGCGCUCCACCGCUGCCUCCUCACCCACUCCUCCAGGGAAAGGAAGACUGUUGUCUAUUCAUUUAUCCCUGCCCUGCCAAUCCAUUCUCUGUUAAAGGCUGUUCUAAGUCUGAACCUCUUGAGAGUGCGAAGAGCUGGUGGGGCAGAUCCAAGUGAAGAAAAGGGAGCAUCGCGGCCUGGGCAGGGUUCAGGAGCAAAAACCGUGACGCCCUGAGACUACCCACAGCUGGAAGACUUACCUCUCCUAGGAAUGCAAGGAGAUUCGGAGAGGCUGUGGCCAUGAAAAGGGCUACAGGGUAAGAUCCGAGGACACAGAAACUGCACUUCUCACCCUCUGGUCUUUGCCGGUGCUUCCCAUGGACUGUGCCCAACAGAAAGCCAGAGGUGAGGGGAGCCCAGGAGAUGCAGUCCCCAGGGCUCAGCCUUCCAAGACCAGAGAAAGAACAGAGAAUGGAUUGGCGGGACAGGGAUAAAUGAAUAGACACCAGAGUCUUCCUUUCCCUGGAGGAGUGGGUGAGGAGGCAGUGGUGGAGCGCUACUUCCCCAUUAGGAGUGGGAGACAGGCCAGGUGCGGUGGCUCAUGCUAAUAAUCCCAGCACCUGGGGAGGUGGAGGCGGGCGGAUUACGAGGUUAAGAGAUUGAGACUGUCCUGGCCAACAGGGUGAAACCCUGUCUCUAUUAAAAAUACAAUAAUUAGCCAGGCGUGGUGGCACGUGCCUGUAGUCCCAGCUGCUCGGGAGGCUGAGGCAGGAGAAUCACUUGAACCUGGGAGGCGGAGGUUGCAGUAAGCCGCGAUCGCACCACUACACUCCAACCCAGCAACAGAGCGAGACUCCAUCUCAAAAAAUAAAAAAUAUAAAAAUAAAUAAGGAGUGGGAGACAGAGGCCAAUUUUGGCGCUACUCCACAGGUACAGAAAGCCCCCUUUAUCUGUGGGUUUGCUUUCCACGGUUUCACUUACAUCAACCACAGUUCCAGAAAUAAAUGAUUCAUGUUUGACAUAUGGUCAGAAGGUCAAUAGCAGUCUAACGCCACGUCACGAUGCCUGUGUCAUUCACCUUACUUCAUCUUAUCAUGCAGGCAUUUUAUCAUCUGAUGUCUUCACGAGAAGGGUGAGUGCAGAACAAGAAGGUAUUUUGAGGGAGAGGAGAGAGAGACACACCACAUUCACACAACCCUUAUUAUAGUAUAUUUUACAAUUGUUCAAUUUUAUUUUUAGCUAUCGUGGUUAAGCUCUUAACUGGGCCUAAUUUAUAAGUUAAACUUCAUCAUAGGUGUGUAUACACAGGAAAAAACGUAGUACUGCAUAUAUAAAGUUUGGCACCAUCCACAGGAAUGUAUUCCCCACAAAUAAGAGAGGAAAGACUGUAAAUAAAAGUCAGGAGUGAAUAAAAAGCCCUAUCUAUCUAUCUAUCUAUCUAUCUAUCUAUCUAUCUAUCUAUCUAUCUAUCUAUCUUAAUCUAUCUCUAUCGUGUAUAUCUGUCUACAAAUUCUAGAAGAAAAUCAGACGCCGUCUAGAAUAGCAGCUAAGUGCAGGCUUUAGAACCAGGUCACUGAGUGCUGGCUGGGCCACUCACCAGUUGUGUGAGUUUGAGCUGUUACUUUACCUCUCUGAGGCUCCGUUCCCUCAUUUUGCAGUGGUAGCAAUGGUGGCUGGGAGAGUCAGAUGACUGAGUAUAUGCAAGGUGUUUAGAACAGCUCCUGGCACGUGGUAGGCAGCUAUGUCAACAAUUCUUUUUUUAUUUGUUUGCUAAAAAAAUUUUCUUAUUGUGAAUGAAGACAUUGUCAACUUACAUAUAUCAUUUUUAUUUGGAGUAUAUUUUCACCUUACAGUGGUCUUGAGAAAUUAAAAAAUGCAUUAACUUUAGCUCUAUACAUAACACAACUUAAUAUUAAGGUUGGAUUGGAAAUUUCCCACAUUUAGAUAUUUCCCUGAAAAUCAAAAGACAAUUUAUCAGUUUUACAUAGAAAAAUCUUAAUAAGUAUUUAACUUUUUAAUAAGUUAAAAGAUAAAGACUGGCAAAUAAUCAUAAAUGUCAGAGCAUUAAAGCAGCAUUUUUUCCAUAGGAAUAUAUAAAAUAAAUAUUACCUAUACUUACUCAAUAUUCACAAAAUUAAAGAUAAAUUUUUGUUGAUGGAAGAUGUUUUAAAUACUUUGAUAUGUGGAAAAACUUCAUUAUCUUUAAAAAUCAGGUUCAAAUGCUUUUAAGUUUGAUGCAUGAUAGCAUUUUCUAAAUAAUUCUCAUUACUCUUCUGU